rnacentral:rRNA from 1 species
GGACCUGACUGCUAUCGGAUUGAUACUAAGCCAUGCGAGUCAUUGUAGCAAUACAAGGCAUACGGCUCAGUAACGCGUAGUCAACCUAACCUAUGGACGGGAAUAACCUCGGGAAACUGAGAAUAAUGCCCGAUAGAACAUUAUGCCUGGAAUGGUUUAUGUUCCAAAUGAUUUAUCGCCGUAGGAUGGGACUGCGGCCUAUCAGUUUGUUGGUGAGGUAAUGGCCCACCAAGACUAUUACAGGUACGGGCUCUGAGAGGAGUAGCCCGGAGAUGGGUACUGAGACACGGACCCAGGCCCUAUGGGGCGCAGCAGGCGAGAAAACUUUGCAAUGUGCGAAAGCACGACAAGGUUAAUCCGAGUGGUUUCUGCUAAAGAAACCUUUUGUCAGUCCUAGAAGCACUGAUGAAUAAGGGGUGGGCGAGUUCUGGUGUCAGCG